ACUCAAAUGAAUUGACGGGGACUUGCACAAGCAGUGGAUUAUGUGGUUUAAUUCGAUGGUAAACGAAGAACCUUACCAGGGUUAGAAAUCUACUUGAAAGCCCUAAGAAACUAGGGCCCUCGCAAGACAAGUGGACAGGUGUUGCAUGGCCGUCGUCAGUUCGUGGUUUGAAUUGUACCCUUAAGUGGGCUAACGAACGCAACCCUCGUUGUGUGUUACAAGUGUCACACGAGACUGCCCAGACCAAAGCGCAAAAGAAGUUAAGAAACUUUUUGUGCAUUUCGGUCUGGGAGGAAGGAGAGGAUGACGCCAGGUCAGCAUGACCCUUGAUACCCUGGGCUACACACAUAAUACAAUGGCCGUUACAACGCGCAGCGACGAGGCGACUCUGAGCUAAUCGUCUAAAAGCGGCCUCAGUUCGGAUUGAAGUCUGCAACUCGACUUCAUGAAGCUGGAAUUGCUAGUAAUCGCGGGUCAGCUAAACCGCGGUGAAUACGUUCUCAAGUCUUGUACACACCGCCCGU
rnacentral:rRNA from 1 species